GUAGCAGAGCGAUUACGAAAGCCCUGAGGAAACUAGUACCAGGGAGGCUCAGCCGCUCAUGCUGAUCCCAGCAGGCCUCCAUCACCACCAGUCACUACAAUGGGACUUUGUGGACCUGGCAAUCAUUGCUUCUGAGAAAACUGCUCACAGGAAGCAGAGAAGCCUCCAGCACUCUUCCUACUGGCUGUUCCACAUCCCCCUUGGCUCUCCUGGCCCUGAAAGCCAGCCUCAGGGAGCUUGAGAGAGAUCCGGAGGCAGGUGGAUGCUGUUUAUCAGAUCCUCUCCUGACGGGUAGCCUGCGAUGAAGCAUACUCGUAUUGAUUCCGUCAGCACAACUGGAACUCCGGCAUUUUCUUCUGGGCUCUGGGGUCGAGACGAAGGGGCUGGCAGUGCUGGAUGGGAAGUAACAGACCAGCAGACACACAGGAGCUGAAGGGACACUAAAUGAGGCCACCGUCUUCAGGCUAUGUGAAAUCUGCGCUCUCGCAUCUGUACCUCCGACAAAUGGAUUUGGUCCUCAGUUCCAGCCAUCAUCUGAUUUCAAGUUUGGUUACCUAGGAAACAGAGGGCACACUGCUGGGACAGUCAGCCCAUGUUCUGUGCCGAGCAAAGCUAUUAAAGCCUAUCAAGUCAGCCUUUGAGAAGCCCUGAGCAGGGACAGUUUCAACUUCCAACCAGGUAAAUGGAUGGUGCUUGAAAAUAUCAUCCUGAAUGAGACAACCCAGAUCCAGAAAGAUGAAUAUGAUCAGUGCCUUGCUCAUCUACCAUCAUAGAAGCUUCCUCCUGCAGCAGAUGGAGACAAAUACAGAGACCCACAGCCAGAACAUAUGCAGAGUGCAGGCGACCUUGGAACGCUCAGUCCUAAAAGGAAUGUCUGUAUCAAAUUUCUCCCCAAGGGCUUAAGGAACUCUGUGGAAGAGGAAGCAGAAAGAGUGUAGGAGUCAGAGGGGAUGGAGGACAGCAAGAAAAAGAAAACAAGGCCUUCUAAAGACAACAGGACUGAUGCACAUAAUUAACUCACAGAGACUUAGAGAUUGCAUGGGUCUGCACUAGAAGAGGCUCUAGAGCUGAGAGAAGUGAACACACACCCCAAUCCCUAAUCCAAAAGCUGUCUCCAACUGCUUCCAAAGGGAUAAUUUAGUUUUCAAUAGUAGAGUCUCACUCGGUAUACAAAGCACACUUAAAAAAAAAAGCAGGCCUCAUUCCCAGCAGUAGAUGACCAACACAAAAUGAAUUCAAUGGCAGGCAUUUUAUAAUAUUGCUUGGCUUCUGAUUUGUUGUUUUAUUUGUAGGGGUUACAUUGUGUGUGUGAUUGUACUUAUUGUGUUUAUUGUGCUUCUUCUUUACUCUUUUUCUUAUGUUUAUUUUAUCCUACUCUGCUCUUUUGUUUUAUCUGAUUUUACUUUAUUGUUUUUUCGAUAGAUGCCAGUUCAUUUUCUAAGGAGAGACAGAAAGGGUAGAUGAGAAUGGCAGGAUAGGAGUUGGGGAAGAGGAAACCAUAAUCAGAAUACAAUGCAUGAUAAAAACUAUUUUCAAUAAAAGAAAAAAGAGAAAUGAUCUUCCAUCCUAUAAUUUCUCCUGGUUGUGCAUACAAUGAUAUUUAAUAAAACCCAAGUCAAAUAAAGCAAAUGGAAUAUUCUGAGUCCUAAGAAGGCCAUGCAUAGUAUUUAACUGGAGGGCAUUUUUCCUUCUUAGUGGUACAUACAAAGAUGGUGUGUGUUUCUCAUAGACUAGGUGACACAGCUCUCAAGAACGACUGCUGGUGCCCCAAAUCAAGCCUGGCCAUUACUUGAUAGACUUUCUCAUAAUCCAGUAGCUCCUUCCAUCACAAAUAGCUGUAAGAAAUCCUAAUUGUCCAAUUGGCUAGUUACUAAGUGGAAGACAGUAAGUUCAAUGUAACACAGAUUAUAUCCUAUUUGUUGCUUCCCCCACAGAGUUAGAAUGCAGGUAUUGUUCAAGAGAUACUUGUUUGGAUUUGAGAUGUGGAUAUCCUCAGGUUUCGGAAUGUUGGGGGAGUGUCUUGUGACCAACAGAUGCAAUACCCCUGAAUACAGAAGGUGACAGCAUGGGGAUCCAAAUAUCCAAAGGAUCUCAAGUCAUGUCUUGGUUUGCCUACAAAGCACUUACCCACAUUAAUCUCAUUUAUGAUAAGAUGUCAAGUCCAUACCCAAAAUACAAACAAGCUUGAGCAUCUGAAACCUCAAAGCCUGCUUCCAGGGCCACACUUCCUCUAACAAGGCCAUCCCCACUCCAACAAGGUCACACCUCCUAAUAAUGCCACUCCCUGUGAGCCUAUGGGGCCAUUUUCUUUCAAACCACUACAAACUACAUCUGAGAUUCUGUUGAAAUCCUCACCAGCUCUGCAAAUCCAUUUCUCCCUUUUUUUAAUUCAGAAAAGCUUAGCUCCUGAGGACAUGAAUUAGCCAUAGACAGCCAGAAAAUUACCUCUAAAUUGAAGAAUGGGGCCAAGAAUCCGCAGAAGCCUAGGUAAUUUGGAAUGAUGCUUCUAAUGGCAUUCAAGGAUCCACUCAUCUGGCUCUCUGGCAUCACAGACGAGAUCCACUAUUUUAGCGUCGCUCUCUCGAUCUUCAUUCUAAAUGAGGAUGCCACUUACCACCUUCAUCUGUUCAUGAUGUGUGCCACAGUUAACAAGACAUGCUCAUGAAGAAGGAAAUUGGCCAGUCUAGUGUCCCCAUCAUUGUUGGUACCAAAUUUACUGGAGAAUGCCUAUAGCACUCACACCCUCUCCCUCCCUCCAUUUCUGUCUGAAUCAUCCUCAAUUUUCUCGUCAAGUUUGAAUCCUACCCCCUGUAGUAGUUUGUUGUGCUGUGUAGUAGAAUUGCCCUGUCCUUUCAGAGACAUUGUAUAUGACCAAUAAAGUUUGAGGUGUUUGUGUUUUGUA